CACUACCUUGGACCCCUGUUCUCCCUGGUGAAUUUCCAUAGAGCCCCUUCACAAGAGCUGCAAAGGAAGAAAAGGGAAAUUGCAAACUGUUUUCUGUGCACAAACUCAAGAGGCAACAAGUGCAAGUCUUCAUUCAAAUGUGUUCUCCUUUUUUAUGUUUAAAAUACAAUAUUAUACUUAUCUACUCAGAAGCAAGUCCCAGGGAGUUCAACAGGACUUACUUUCAGCCAACUACUGCCUGUCUACUCCAAGUCCAUCAGAACUGGCACCGCAGCACCACACACCGCUGGUAGAGAUAACAGAUUCUAAUUAUGCCAUACUGAAGCAUAUCUCUGCGGAGGUGGCCUUCCAGUUUCCAGAUUUUAAUAAGCUUAAUA